rnacentral:rRNA from 1 species
GGCGGACGGGUGAGUAAUGUAUAGGGAGCUGCCCGAUAGAGGGGGAUACCAGUUGGAAACGACUGUUAAUACCGCAUAAUGUCUACGGACCAAAGUGUGGGACCUUCGGGCCACAUGCUAUCGGAUGCACCUAUAUGGGAUUAGCUAGUUGGUGGGGUAAUGGCUCACCAAGGCGACGAUCCCUAGCUGGUUUGAGAGGAUGAUCAGCCACACUGGAACUGAGACACGGUCCAGACUCCUACGGGAGGCAGCAGUGGGGAAUAUUGGACAAUGGGCGCAAGCCUGAUCCAGCCAUGCCGCGUGUGUGAAGAACG